GACGAACGCUGGCGGCGUGCUUAACACAUGCAAGUCGAGCGGAAAGGCCCUGCUUUUGUGGGGUGCUCGAGUGGCGAACGGGUGAGUAACACGUGAGUAACCUGCCCUUGACUUUGGGAUAACUUCAGGAAACUGGGGCUAAUACCGGAUAGGAGCUCCUGCUGCAUGGUGGGGGUUGGAAAGUUUCGGCGGUUGGGGAUGGACUCGCGGCUUAUCAGCUUGUUGGUGGGGUAGUGGCUUACCAAGGCUUUGACGGGUAGCCGGCCUGAGAGGGUGACCGGCCACAUUGGGACUGAGAUACGGCCCAGACUCCUACGGGAGGCAGCAGUGGGGAAUAUUGCACAAUGGGCGGAAGCCUGAUGCAGCAACGCCGCGUGCGGGAUGACGGCCUUCGGGUUGUAAACCGCUUUCGCCUGUGGCGAAGCGUGAGUGACGGUAAUGGGUAAAGAAGCACCGGCUAACUACGUG
rnacentral:rRNA from 1 species